GAGAGCUGACACGGGAGUCCCGGGAGCGGGGCUGAGAGUGGGCCCACCAGACCGGCCCUUACCGUCACACCUGAUCCGGGUCAUGCCGGCGAAGGGAGCGAAGGAUGCCACAGA
rnacentral:ncRNA from 2 species